rnacentral:tRNA from 2 species
AAGAAAGGAUAAGAAUCAAUAAGUACUGCUAAUCCUUAUGGACCGGGGUUAAAAUCCACGGCUUUCUUA